rnacentral:rRNA from 1 species
UACGUAGGGUGCGAGCGUUGCCCGGAUUUAUUGGGCGUAAAGGGCGCGUAGGCGGCCACGCACGUCCGUUGUGAAAUCGCCCGGCUCAACUGGGCGGGGUCAGCGGAUACGGUGUGGCUCGAGCAAGCUAGGGGGCAAUGGAAUUCCCGGUGUAGUGGUGGAAUGCGUAGAGAUCCGGAAGAACACCAGUGGCGAAGGCGGCCCGCUGGGCAGUGGCUGACGCUGGAGGC